CCGGGUUGUCCGUCAGACUGUAGGUUGGAUCCCAGUGCAAAUCCGUGAUAUGCCAAAAACUCCCUGUGGAAAACCGAUGCGUAAUUACGCACAUGCGAGGGUCUCAUGGAAAAGCAGACAAGAUACGAGCAACCUCACCGGAGACAUGUUGGACUCUGAAAACAUCCGUCAAAAACCGAGGAGAGGUCAGACUAAAGACCGAAGGAAGAUAAGAUAGAGGCAGCUGCGCAUGACGUGUUUGCCUGCAAAGUGGGUUAUAUCAAAGCAACCCUCUUACAGUACAAGUUACAGGCUAUAAAUAUAUUAAUGUAACUAUGAACAUAUUUACAUCAACCGAAUAAAUUAUAGUAAAGCUGACAAUAAUAAUAAAAAAAA